UCGAAGAUCCCCGUACUGGUGGCGCCAUC
rnacentral:sRNA from 1 species